ensembl:lncRNA
GGACGUCGCUGUCGCGCCUGCAGUGGUUCUCGCUGGCGCUGCUCUUCGCGGGGGUGGCCCUGGUGCAGGCCGAGCAGGUGCGGCCGCCGCCGGGGGGCGGGGGGGGCGGCCCCGAGGACGGCGGGGGCCCCCCCCAGAGCUACCUGACGGGGCUGGCGGCCGUGGGGGCCUCGUGCCUGUCGUCGGGCUUCGCCGGCGUCUACUUCGAGCGGCUGCUCAAGACCUCGGGGGGCUCCAUCUGGGUGCGCAACCUGCAGCUGGGCGCCGUGGGCACGGCCGUGGGGCUGGCCGCCAUGCUGGCCGCCGAGGGCCGCGCCGUGGCCGCCGUGGGCUUCUUCCACGGCUACAGCCCGGCCGUCUGGGCCGUGGUGCUGAACCAGGCGGCCGGCGGGCUGCUGGUGGCCGUGGUGGUGCGCUACGCCGACAACAUCCUCAAGGGCUUCGCCACCGCCCUCUCCAUCCUGGCCUCCGCCGCCGCCUCCGCGCACCUCUUCGGCUUCCGGCCCCGCGGCGCCUUCGUGGCCGGCACCGCCAUGGUGCUGGCCGCCGUCUACCUCUACGGGAGGCCCCCCGGGGGCGCCGGGCGGCCCCGUGGCGGAGGAGGAGAAGGAGGAGGAGGAGGAGGGACGGAGGCCGCGGGGCCGCACGAGGGACACGGCGGCAAGUCAGUGGGGGCGGCGUGACGGGGAGGGGAAGGGCGCCCGGGGAGCCCCGCGGUGGGGGAGGGCGGCGGCGGCGGGGGGCUCGGCAGGCGGUGGAGGCUGAGAGGUUGGGGUUUGGGUGGCGGAGACCCCCACGUUGGUCUUCUUUGGGUGGCGGCGACCCCAAAGUUGGGGUUUUUUUGGGUGGUGGAGACCCAAAAGUUGGUUUUUUGUUGUUUUUUUUGGGUGGUGGAAGGUCCCAGCGUUGGGUUUUUGGGUGGUGGAGACCCCAGCGUUGGGUUUUUGGGUGGUGGAGACCCCAGCGUUGGGUUUGUAGGGUGGUGGAGACCCCAACGUUGGGGUUGUGGGGUGGUGGGGACCCCGAUAUUGGGGUUUGUGGGGCGGUGCAGACCCCAACGUUGGGUUGUUUUUGGGUGGUGAAGGAGAUUUUGGGGUUCCUUGGGGUUUGUGGGGUGGAGCCCCCAAAUUCGGGCCCCAGCGGGUGCCGCGGUCCCUGGGGGUUGCCCCCCCCCCCGCUGCCGGGGCUCGUUAGGGGGCGGCGCGGCGCCU